rnacentral:rRNA from 1 species
GAGUUUGAUCGUGGCUCAGGACGAACGCUGGCGGUAUGCCUAAUACAUGCAAGUCGAGCGCAGGAAGCAGACUGAAGCCUUCGGGUGGAUGUCUGUGGAAUGGGCGGCGGAUGGGUGAGUAUCACGUGGGUAACCUGCCUGUAAGCUUGGGAUAACUCCGGGAAACCGGUGCUAAUACCAGAUAAGAUUUCCGUUCGCAUGAACGGAAAAUGAAAGGCGGCUUUUGCUGUCACUUACAGAUGGACCCGCGUCGCAUUAGCUAGUUGGUGGGGUAAAGGCUCACCAAAGCAACGAUGCGUAGCCGACCUGAGAGGGUGAUCGGCCACACUGGGACUGGAGACACGGCCCAGACUCCUACGGGAGGCAGCAGUAGGGAAUCUUCCGCAUGGACGAAAGUCUGACGAGCAAUACCGCGUGAGUGAUGAAGGUCUUC